rnacentral:rRNA from 1 species
GAUCAUGGCUCAGGAUGAACGCUAGCUACAGGCUUAACACAUGCAAGUCGAGGGGAAACGAUAGAGAAAGCUUGCUUUUUCUAGGCGUCGACCGGCGCACGGGUGAGUAACGCGUAUCCAACCUGCCCAUCACUUGGGGGAUAACCUUGCGAAAGUAAGACUAAUACCCAAUGAUAUCUCUAGAAGACAUCUGAAAGAGAUUAAAGAUUUAUCGGUGAUGGAUGGGGGAUGCGUCUGAUUAGCUUGUUGGCGGGGUAACGGCCCACCAAGGCGACGAUCAGUAGGGGUUCUGAGAGGAAGGUCCCCCACAUUGGAACUGAGACACGGUCCAAACUCCUACGGGAGGCAGCAGUGAGGAAUAUUGGUCAAUGGACGAGAGUCUGAACCAGCCAAGUAGCGUGAAGGAUGAAGGUCUUACGGAUUGUAAACUUCUUUUAUAAGGGAAUAAACCCUCCCACGUGUGGGAGCUUGUAUGUACCUUAUGAGUAAGCAUCGGCUAACUCCGUG